rnacentral:tRNA from 1 species
UGUCAAGGGAUGGGAAUCCAACCCACGACCUUCCGCUUACAGGGCAGAUGCCAUGACCACUAGGCUACAUAUGC